GACGAACGCUGGCGGCGUGCCUAAUACAUGCAAGUCGAGCGGACGAUUCGAAAGCUUGCUUUUGAAUCGUUAGCGGCGGACGGGUGAGUAACACGUGGGCAACCUGCCCUGUAGACGGGGAUAACACCGAGAAAUCGGUGCUAAUACCGGAUAACACGAAAUGUCGCAUGACGUUUCGUUGAAAGGCGGCGCAAGCUGCCGCUACAGGAUGGGCCCGCGGCGCCUUAGCUAGUUGGUGAGGUAACGGCUCACCAAGGCGACGAUGCGUAGCCGACCUGAGAGGGUGAUCGGCCACACUGGGACUGAGACACGGCCCAGACUCCUACGGGAGGCAGCAGUAGGGAAUCUUCCGCAAUGGACGAAAGUCUGACGGAGCAACGCCGCGUGAGCGAAGAAGGCCUUCGGGUCGUAAAGCUCUGUUGUUAGGGAAGAACAAGUAACGUAGUAACUGACGUUACUAUGACGGUACCUAACGAGAAAGCCACGGCUAACUACGUG
rnacentral:rRNA from 1 species